rnacentral:rRNA from 1 species
UACAGAGGUCUCAAGCGUUGUUCGGAUUCAUUGGGCGUAAAGGGUGUGUAGGUGGCGCGCUAAGUCGGGUGUGAAAUUUCGGAGCUUAACUCCGAAACUGCAUUCGAUACUGGCGUGCUUGAGGACUGGAGAGGAGACUGGAAUUCAUGGUGUAGCAGUGAAAUGCGUAGAGAUCAUGAGGAAGACCAGUGGCGAAGGCGGGUUUCUGGACAGUUCCUGACACUGAGGCACGAAGGCCAGGGGAGCAAACGGG